rnacentral:rRNA from 1 species
GUGAGGAAUAUUGGACAAUGGGCGCAAGCCUGAUCCAGCCAUGCCGCGUGCAGGAAGACGCAUCUAUGGUGUGUAAACUGCUUUUGUACGGGAAGAAACACUCCCUCGUGAGGGAGCUUGACGGUACCGUAAGAAUAAAGAUCGGCUAACUCCGUGCCAGCAGCCGCGGUAAUACGGAGGAUCCAAGCGUUAUCCGGAAUCAUUGGGUUUAAAGGGUCCGUAGGCGGUUUAAUAAGUCAGUGGUGAAAGCCCAUCGCUCAACGAUGGAACGGCCAUUGAUACUGUUAGACAUGAAUUACAAGGAAGUAACUAGAAUAUGUAGUGUAGCGGUGAAAUGCUUAGAUAUUACAUGGAAUACCAAUUGCGAAGGCAGGUUACUACUUGUGGAUUGACGCUGAUGGACGAAAGCGUGGGGAGCGAACAGGAUUAGAAAACCCAGUAGUCC